UGUGCCAGCCGCCGCGGUAAUACGAAGGGGGCUAGCGUUGCUCGGAAUCACUGGGCGUAAAGGGUGCGUAGGCGGGUUUCUAAGUCAGAGGUGAAAGCCUGGAGCUCAACUCCAGAACUGCCUUUGAUACUGGAAGUCUUGAGUAUGGCAGAGGUGAGUGGAACUGCGAGUGUAGAGGUGAAAUUCGUAGAUAUUCGCAAGAACACCAGUGGCGAAGGCGGCUCACUGGGCCAUUACUGACGCUGAGGCACGAAAGCGUGGGGAGCAAACAGGAUUAGAAACCCCGGUAGUCC
rnacentral:rRNA from 1 species